rnacentral:rRNA from 1 species
UACGAAGGGUGCAAACGUUGCUCGGAAUCAUUGGGCGUAAAGCGCACGUAGGCGGCCCUGUAAGUCGGAUGUGAAAUCCCUCGGCUCAACUGAGGACGUGCAUCCGAAACUGCAGAGCUCGAGUAUGGAAGAGGGUCGCGGAAUUCCCGGUGUAGAGGUGAAAUUCGUAGAUAUCGGGAGGAACACCAGUGGCGAAGGCGGCGACCUGGGCCAAUACUGACGCUGAGGUGCGAAAGCGUGGGGAGCAAACAGG